rnacentral:rRNA from 1 species
UGGGGAAUAUUGCACAAUGGGGGAAACCCUGAUGCAGCGACGCCGCGUGAACGAAGAAGGUAUUCGUAUCGUAAAGUUCUGUCCUACGGGAAGAUAAUGACAGUACCAUAGAAGAAAGCUCCGGCUAAAUACGUGCCAGCAGCCGCGGUAAUACGUAUGGAGCGAGCGUUGUCCGGAAUUAUUGGGCGUAAAGGGUACGCAGGCGGUUUAAUAAGUCGAAUGUUAAAGAUCGGGGCUCAACCCCGCAAAGCAUUGGGAACUGAUAAACUUGAGUAGUGGAGAGGAAAGUGGAAUUCCUAGUGUAGUGGUGAAAUACGUAGAUAUUAGGAGGAAUACCAGUCGCGAAGGCGACUUUCUGGACACAAACUGACGCUGAGGUACGAAAGCGUGGGGAGCAAACAGG